GACGAACGCUGGCGGCGUGCUUAACACAUGCAAGUCGAACGGAAAGGCCUCUUUCGGGGGGUACUCGAGUGGCGAACGGGUGAGUAACACGUGAGUAACCUGCCCUUUACUUUGGGAUAACUUCAUGAAACUGGGGCUAAUACCGGAUAGGAGCUCCUGCUGCAUGUUGGGGGUUGGAAAGUUUCGGCGGUUGGGGAUGGACUCGCGGCUUAUCAGCUUGUUGGUGGGGUAGUGGCUUACCAAGGCUUUGACGGGUAGCCGGCCUGAGAGGGUGACCGGCCACAUUGGGACUGAGAUACGGCCCAGACUCCUACGGGAGGCAGCAGUGGGGAAUAUUGCACAAUGGGUGGAAGCCUGAUGCAGCAACGCCGUGUGCGGGAUGACGGCCUUCGGGUUGUAAACCGCUUUCGCUCAUGACGAAGCUUUGUGUGACGGUAGUGGGUAAAGAAGCACCGGCUAACUACGUG
rnacentral:rRNA from 1 species